rnacentral:rRNA from 1 species
GACGAACGCUGGCGGCGUGCUUAACACAUGCAAGUCGAACGGGGUAAUUCCUUCGGGGAUUACUUAGUGGCGAACGGGUGAGUAACGCGUGGGGAACCUGCCUUUCAGUGGGGGACAACAGUUGGAAACGACUGCUAAUACCGCAUAACAUGUACGGACCGCAUGAUCUGUACAUCAAAGCUUUAUGUGCUGAAAGAUGGCCUCGCGUCUGAUUAGAUAGUUGGUGGGUAACGGCCCACCAAGUCGACGAUCAGUAGCCGGACUGAGAGGUUGAACGGCCACAUUGGGACUGAGAUACGGCCCAG